CGCGGCCUAUCAGCUUGUUGGUGGGGUAACGGCCUACCAAGGCAUCGACGGGUAGCUGGUCUGAGAGGACGAUCAGCCACACUGGGACUGAGACACGGCCCAGACUCCUACGGGAGGCAGCAGUGGGGAAUAUUGCGCAAUGGGCGAAAGCCUGACGCAGCAACGCCGCGUGGGGGAUGAAGGCCUUCGGGUUGUAAACCCCUUUCAGCAGGGACGAAAAUGACGGUACCUGCAGAAGAAGCCCCGGCCAACUACGUGCCAGCAGCCGCGGUAACACGUAGGGGGCAAGCGUUGUCCGGAUUUAUUGGGCGUAAAGAGCUCGUAGGCGGUUGCGUAAGUCGGAUGUGAAAACUCAGGGCUCAACCCGGAGACGCCAUCCGAUACUGCGCUGACUAGAGUCCGGUAGAGGAGCAUGGAAUUCCUGGUGUAGCGGUGAAAUGCGCAGAUAUCAGGAGGAACACCAGUGGCGAAGGCGGUGCUCUGGGCCGGUACUGACGCUGAGGAGCGAAAGCGUGGGUAGCGAACAGGAUUAGAUACCCUGGUAGUCCACGCCGUAAACGUUGGGCACUAGGUGUGGGGCCUCCUUAACGGGUUCCGUGCCGUAGCUAACGCAUUAAGUGCCCCGCCUGGGGAGUACGG
rnacentral:rRNA from 1 species